UCGAAAUUAAAUUUAGUGAUCUAGUCGUCUGAAAAGGUAGAGAGACUGUCGCUGGCUAUUUGUUUAGCAUGUGCACGUCCCCUCACUUUUUCUAGAUUCUAGACUAGAUCAUCUAUACCACACACACCUGUGCACCUAUUGUAGAUCCCCUGAGAGGGGGAACUAUGUUUUCAUUAUAUCACACACACAUUGUAUGUCGAGAAUGUAAAACGAAACAAUAUA
rnacentral:misc_RNA from 2 species